rnacentral:rRNA from 1 species
CCUACGGGGGGCAGCAGUGAGGAAUAUUGGUCAAUGGUCGGGAGCCUGAACCAGCCAAGCCGCGUGAGGGAUGAAGGUACAGAGUAUCGUAAACCUCUUUUGUCAGGGAACAAAGGCGGGGACGUGUCCCCGGAUGAGUGUACCUGAAGAAAAAGCAUCGGCUAACUCCGUGCCAGCAGCCGCGGUAAUACGGAGGAAGCGAGCGUUAUCCGGAUUUAUUGGGUUUAAAGGGUGCGCAGGCGGUCUGUUAAGUCAGCGGUCAAAGCCCGGGGCUCAACCCCGGCCCGCCGUUGAGACUGGCAGUCUCGAGUUGGAGAGAAGUAUGCGGAAUGCGCGGUGUAGCGGUGAAAUGCAUAGAUAUCGCGCAGAACUCCGAUUGCGAAGGCAGCAUGCCGGCUCCACACUGACGCUGAGGCACGAAAGCGUGGGUAUCGAACAGGAUUAGAUACCCCUGUAGUC